CACGGUCCCCUUAAACUUCGAACCAAAGCGAACCCUUUCCUUAGGUUGCUGUUGGACAGGAACCUGGCUACAGAGGGAUGACUCUUCUGGAGCAUCCCCUCAGGGUAGGAGUCAGGGAGGAUGCGCCGCCGGCUAAGGCUUCAGUUCUUGGUGGCCUUGGCUUGCGGAUGCUGCCCCAUGCUCUCUGAUCGAUACCCCAUGUUCGCAUGCCCGGUCCUCUUUCCAGGGACACCACAUUGGCUGAGGACCUACACCUGUGAGCUGAUCUUAACUUGAUCAGCCCUGCCCAGAAGGACCCUGUUUAAAGAGGACAACUUGCUGGAGAUUGUCCUCUCCUUCCACUGUGGGUCCCACCCAGGGAUUGAACUCUGGUCAUUGGGUUUGGCGGUUGACGCCUUCACCUGCUGAGCUACCUCACUGGACUCGUGAUUUAACACAGAUGUCUCCUCUAUGAAGGCAAUCCCAACAAAGCAUACGGAAAGAUGUGAAUUGGAGCCAUCCUCUGUCACUAGAGGACUGAAGUCAGAACACAGCCAUGACUGUAGGAAUAUGCAUACUUAGCAGAAUGGACGGGUUAAACAAUCAAAUAAAUACAAGGGCAAUUUCCUGUGCUGGAGAGGAUCCAGGCAACAGGAACCCAGAGACUGACCAUAGAUGCCCUUUGGAGGACUCACAGAGCUCACUGUGGCCUUGCCAACAGUUCUUGGCUGUUCCCCACAAUAAAAUCUUCCCACAGGACUUCUAACAUCUUGCUCAUCUCUACACUGUGCACAAGGAUUUCAGAGCAGAAGAAAACAGGGGUAAGGUACCAUUUCACCCCAUCAGUUCAACAGCACCCAGGCAACAUGGCUUCCACUGUUGACUUUGUCUCCUGAGUAAGGGAGUGUUUGUCAGUUUGUCUUUAACUAACAUUCCUCUCCACCCAUCCACCCACUUUCCCUUCUAUAUAGUUUCUCUUUGAAUGAAGUUACUGGACAUAAUCCAUACAAAGGGCUGGGAUGCUAUGGCCCAUAUCACUGAGAUAGAAAGCGCUACAUGAAUUAUUUAGGAUUCUUCUGUGUGUAAAAUAUAUGUCUUUGCUAUUUUCCCCCAUAUUUAUUUAUAUCAGUGUGGGCUAACACUUUAUUUUGGGGAUGCUAUGAUUGAAUAUUUUUAUAACUUUGGUUUCCAUGUCCUCUUGACAAGUACCCAUUCUUUCCCCCCUUCUCCUUCCUCUCUUCCCUUCUCACCCACACACAUGCAUGCUUGUGCUGAGGGAGAGGGGGUGGUGGGUGGAGAAGGAGAGGGAGGGGGAGAUGGAGAGGGAGAGGGAGGGGGAGAGGGAGAGGAAGAGGGAGGGGGAGGGGGAGAGGGAGAGGGAGGGGGAUAUGGAGAGGGAGAAGAAUCCAGAACAAGGUACAACACCCUAGGACAUACCCCUAGUGUGUCCUUCAUCUAGCUAAGCCCUACCUUCUAAAGCUUCUAGAACCUUCAAAAUAGUGCCACUAAUUAGUGACCAAGAAUCCAAUCCAUGAGCUGUGGGGGACAUUUUAUCUUCAAUCUGUAACAUAUAGGAUGAUAGCACAAGGCCUAAAUGGCCAGUGAAGGAGCCUAGGGAAGAAGCAAAAGAGAUUCUGCACCUAGCCCAGAGCAUCCAGGCAUUGAGGGCUUUACUUUGUUGCUAUAGUGUUAGAUCGUCAAUGCUCUCUAAAGGCCUGUGUGUGGAAGGGUCCAGAAACACCCCAGAACAGUUUCCUGAGGAGAUAUUUAGUAUUGAAGACUAAAGGUUUUUUUUUUUAAUUAAAAAAGAAGAAAGGUGGUUAUGGCUUGUUUUUUAUGUGCACUUUUAUUUAUUUAGUGUGUGUGUGUGAGCAUGGGUACACAUGUGUGCCACAGCAUCUUGGUGCAGGUUCAAGUGCAACUUGUAGGAGCUUGCUGUCUCCAGUCUACCUCCUGGGCCCCUGGGAUUCAGCUCAAGCUGUCAGUCUUGGUGGAAGGUGCCCUCUCCGCUGAGCCAUCUCACUGACCUAAUUAAUCAAUCAAUCAAUCAUUUAUUUAUUUAGACAAAUUUGAUGUUGUUCAAAUAACUUAGAUUAAUUAGAUUAAUUUCUUUUCUUUUCUUUUCUAUUCUUUCUUUCUCUCUUUUUUUCCAUCUUGUUAUUUUGUGUGCACGUCACAGUAUGCACAUGGAGAGCAGAGGACAACUCAAGAGAGCUGGUUCUUUUUGUCCCUACUAUCUGAGUCCCGGGGACUUGAACUCAGGUCAUCAGACUUGGCAGCAGAUGCUUGUAUGCACUGAGCCACCUCGCUGGUCCGUGUGACAAAGAUUUUUAUACCCGAAACCAUACAGUAGGGAGGGAUACACGAUGACGUAAGUGUAUUUUCCUUCCCCAAAAUAGAUGGAUCAGAUGGGAGAUGGAGAGUAGGAGGGGAUGUGUCUGGAGCUUAGAUGCUGGUCCCUGAGAAGAGGCUGAGCCCUCCUGGUGUUUGGGUUAAAUCUUUGGUUGGGUGGGUGUGCAGCUGCGAUCACAGGAGCCUGAAGAAAAAGUCAGAUGCUCUUCGAGAAGGGGAGGGGUGGACUUCUGUCCUACUUUACUUUCUAUUGCUGUGAAAAAGAGCGUGAC
rnacentral:lncRNA from 1 species